rnacentral:misc_RNA from 1 species
GUGAAUCAUCAAAUUUUUGAACGCAAAUUGCGCUUUCUGGCAUCCCGGGGAGUAUGCCUGUUUGAGGGUCAGUAUUAACAAAAAAAUCGGUUUGGUUGCAAAUUAUGACGUUUGCGGAGUUUGGGCUAUCUUGACUUUUUAGGUUAAGGGGAUUAAAAUUGACAUUUUUUGCGCAAUUUUAGUCGUAACUAAUUUUUUUUUUUAUACGUCAUUGCUUA